CAGGCCUGCAUAAUAUAGCGGACCGCGGGACCAUUGGUCCCAGAAAAUUUUUGAGGUUGGCAGAAAAAAAUGGAGGGUAAAACUUAAAAGUCUCAAAAGAAAAAAAGUAAAGAGAAAGAAAGAAAGGAAGAAAAUAAGAAAAAAUGACAUAAUUGAAUAAUAAGCUGUAGGUAGUGAACUAGUGAUGUUUGCAACAUGCAAGUAAUACAAGUUUCCAAUAUACCGGUACAAGCGCCACUCCAGCAGCCUGAUAUUAUGAUCAAAGACAGGCAGACAGCAGUCUAGCAGAUAUUAAGAUGAAAUUCUCUAUGCGGUUAUAAUUGAUUUCAUCUAGUGUAUUAGCUACUUCUGAAAAUACCACUCCAGUUAUAUAUGAAUACAACUCAUUUAACAACUACAGUAUGUGGAUUAAAAAGUCUAUGAGUGUGGUGAUUUCUUACAAUGUAGUAAAAAAUCUAAGCAAUAUGGUCC